rnacentral:rRNA from 1 species
AGCGAACGCUGGCGGCAGGCCUAACACAUGCAAGUCGAACGGACCCUUCGGGGUUAGUGGCGGACGGGUGAGUAACACGUGGGAACGUGCCUUUAGGUUCGGAAUAGCUCCUGGAAACGGGUGGUAAUGCCGAAUGUGCCCUUCGGGGGAAAGAUUUAUCGCCUUUAGAGCGGCCCGCGUCUGAUUAGCUAGUUGGUGAGGUAACGGCUCACCAAGGCGACGAUCAGUAGCUGGUCUGAGAGGAUGACCAGCCACACUGGUAAUGAGACACGGCCCAGACUCCUACGGGAGGCAGCAGUGGGGAAUCUUGCGCAAGGGGCGAAAGCCUGACGCAGCCAUGCCGCGUGAAUGAUGAAGGUCUUAGGAUUGUAAAAUUCUUUCACCGGGGACGAUAAUGACGGUACCCGGAGAAGAAGCCCCGGCUAAAUUCGUG